rnacentral:rRNA from 1 species
GAUGAACGCUGGCGGCGUGCCUAAUACAUGCAAGUCGAGCGAACGGACGAGAAGCUUGCUUCUCUGAUGUUAGCGGUGGACGGGUGAGUAACACGUGGAUAACCUACCUAUAAGACUGGGAUAACUUCGGGAAACCGGAGCUAAUACCGGAUGAUAUUUUGAACCGCAUGGUUCAAAAGUGAAAGACGGUCUUGCUGUCACUUAUAGAUGGAUCCGCGCUGCAUUAGCUAGUUGGUAAGGUAACGGCUUACCAAGGCAACGAUGCAUAGCCGACCUGAGAGGGUGAUCGGCCACACUGGAACUGAGACACGGUCCAGACUCCUACGGGAGGCAGCAGUAGGGAAUCUUCCGCAAUGGUCGAAAGCCUGACGGAGCAACGCCGCGUGAGUGAUGAAGGUCUUCGGAUCGUAAAACUCUGUUAUUAGGGAAGAACAUAUGUGUAAGUAACUGUGCACAUCUUGACGGUACCUAAUCAGAAAGCCACGGCUAACUACGUG